UCAUCGAGUCUUUGAACGCACAUUGCGCCCAUUGGUAUUCCUUUGGGCAUGUCUGUUUGAGCGUCAUUACAACACCUCAGCACACGCUGGUUUUGAGCUGUGAGGGUUCAGAAAUGAACCCUUCCGCUUUAAAGUUGUAAGCUCUGCUGACUUCCAGCUUGACCGGAAACAUAGUAAAUUUCUUGCUUGUUUAUAGGAAAAAGUUGAGAAGUUUGGCCUGAAAAACACCUUCAAUUUCUAAGGUUUGACCUCAGAUCAGACAAGGAUACCCGCUGAACUUAAGCAUAUCAAUAAGCGGAGGAAAAGAAACCAACAGGGAUUGCCUCAGUAACGGCGAGUGAAGCGGCAAUAGCUCAAAUUUGAAAUCUGGAGUCUCCGACUUCCGAGUUGUAAUUUGAAGAGGAUGUUUCGGUUGCGAUCUGGGCCUAAGUUCCUUGGAACAGGACGUCAUGGAGGGUGAGAAUCCCGUACAUGGCUGCAGGUUUGCUUCUAUGUGAAACUCCUUCGAAGAGUCGAGUUGUUUGGGAAUGCAGCUCAAAAUGGGUGGUAAAUUUCAUCUAAAGCUAAAUAUUGGCGAGAGACCGAUAGCGCACAAGUAGAGUGAUCGAAAGAUGAAAAGCACUUUGAAAAGAGAGUUAAACAGUACGUGAAAUUGUUGAAAGGGAAGCGCUUGCAAUCAGACUCACUUGCGGUUGAUCAACGUUCCUUUUGGUUCGUGCACUCUGCCGUUUGUGGGCCAGCAUCAGUUGGGGCGGUGGGACAAAGGUAGCAGGAAUGUGGCUCUCUUCGGGGAGUGUUAUAGCCUGUUGCGUAAUGCCACCA
rnacentral:rRNA from 1 species